GGUUGGGGAGGCCGACUGGGCCAGAUGGUUGGUUGGGCUGGUGGUGAGGGAAAAAGAGGGGGAAGGAGUGGUGGGCUGGUUGAGGGGUUGAGCCCAAGAGGAAUAAGAAUGCUCUUCCCAUUUAUAUUUCAAGGAGACAGAGAGGGAAAAGAAUAUUCCAAUUUCUAUUUGGAGAAAGGAAUUGAAGGAUUUUCCACUAUUUGCUAAAAUGAUUGAGCGGGAAAGGGAAAAGAGAUUGAGAUGAGUCACCACGAAUUUAAGAUAGAUUUAGCGGCAGAGAUUUGGUGAUGAGAUCAACAAGAGAAAAGUUUUGGAGAAGGGAAUUUGGAAAAGAGUUCAAAAUGGAUUAAAGGAGUUUGAGACGUACUCCAAUGAAAAGAUUGAGAAAGGAUUCGCUUCGCCUUUGAGAUAGGCUCAACGGAGAUAUGGGAAUACUUUGCUAAGGAUUUGUGCACUCCAAAAGAAACUCAAAACCCUAAACAAGACCCAACUCAAGACCACUCACGAACAAAAGCACUCGUCUAGAAACAAAUCUAUAUGUAUGCCACGAUUUGUUAGCGGGUUAGGAUCGAGUUAGAUCUAAAAACUAUAUGAUUCACACGAUUACAGGAAAAAUUUUAAAAAGCUCGUAUUUUUGGUUUUCGUAAAAAUCCGGGAUGUUACACUAUACAAUUGAAAUUUGAUUUAAUAGAGUUGUUUUUGGUCCUGCUGGUGUGUUGCCACCAGCAGGACGUCUGCAUUUGAUCAUCUCUCUCUGUUGUAAGUUCAGCUGCACGAAAACUGCAAGUAUGGGGGGGUCGCCCGACCCCCCAACUUCAUCUCUGAACUGCCGUGAGCAUGGAACAACACUGCAUACACCUCGGCACGUCAUGGCACCAAAAACAGGCGCGAUGAGGGGGUCGCCCGACCCCCUUUCUAUGGCAAAAGGAAACGACACAAGUGCAGAAAGACUUCCCGAGGGACGUAGAAUCGAGUGGCAGGGCCAGGAACCUCCAGGUGGGGUCGGCCGACCCUUCCAUGGAGCCCUGGGCCCAACAGGCAGCUUCUAUACAACGAAAGACAUCUUUCCUGCCCGGUUUGCUAAUUCUUCCCCCUCUCAGUCUGUCCAAUUCUUUACCUUUGUGUCACAAUUAAAAUAAAAUUUGAUAGUUUAAACUUGUUUGCAAAAUAAAAAGUGAACUGGUACAUGAUUUAAGAGAAAUAGUGACAUAAAGUAUAGUUCUUACAAUUGUUCAUCCUCAUGGGUAAAAAUCUAUAGGAACCAUAUUGACUAAGUUGUUGAUGAAAGUGAUAUAACUCUUGGCUAAGAAUUCAUAACAUUUCUAUUCAAGGUACUUAGAGAUUUGUUUCAAAAAUAUCACAAAACCAUAGUAUCAUUUACUCCUCAUUAGCAAGAAAUUCCCACUAAAAGCCAUACACUUAGAUAUUCAAGUAACCAUUUUAUGAAAUGCAACCUGCUUUUGUAAUGAGUUUUGUCAAAACCUUGUUGACCCUAGUGAGAGUUGUAUCAUAGUCACAAGAUCAAGAUCACGUACACACCACAUAUAUAUAUGCUGCUUCUACACUGGAAGUACGCAACCACAUGUAUUGUGCAUCCACUAAAUAGGUUGCUCCAUACUCUAAGUGUUAGAACACCUCUCUAAAUAUUGUUUAGAAAAUGAGACAUAAAAGGGCUUGGCAAAAUAAAAGAAAAAGAAAAGAUGGACAUGUGCAAGUCCAUGAAAAAAAAAAUUGAGCACAUAAAGCUCGAAGAAAAAGAAAAUCUAGCCAUGUCUCAAUAUACAAGUAGAGAGAGUGUAGUAAAUAAAGGAGCAACCUAGUCCACCAUAUAACACACUUGCACAUCUUGAUCUAUGACUAUGACACUCCUCUCUUUGGAUCCUUGUUUUUGACUUAACAAUAUUUGCAAAGUAGAGUAUGCUACCUUGUUUAUCCCUACCAAGCCCCAUAUAAGCCUAUAAUUAUAGGAUGAAACAAGUUGGCAUUCAUGCCUUGGUGAGGACUACUAAAAAAAACUUUGAGUGAUCUAGAGCGCUAAAUGAGGAGUAGGAUUGAACUAUGUGACUUAUUUUAAAAAGUGUCAUAAAAACUCUAAGUACCAAGAAUAUGAAAUUGGAAUUUGAUCUUGUUCUGAGAGUUGUUCCUUUUCUCAACCUCUGAAGGAUAUAUGCUAGACACUUACACAAAAACCCAUUUGGAUGAACUAUGUUCGAACUAGCAUUUUAUGCUCACUACUAUCUUAAGUUAGAAACCAUUGAUCACUCAUUUUUAACCUUUACUCGAGGACGAGCAAAGACUCAAGUGUGGGGGGUCUUGUGGACGGUAUUUAUACCAUGUUUUCUACUAUCAUAACCAUCAACAUAAGACUCAUUUUGGGAGAAAACCACCAAACAAAGUAGUAAUAUAGGUACAUAUAACCUAGUUCCACAUGUACAUGCUACUAUUUGGUUGCAGGAGUAAGAACAGGUACUUUUCAAGGGUCCAAACACUAAGAAGGGGUGAAUAACUAAAGAUCAGUGACACCAGUAACCAAGACAACAUUAUAGUCAUG
rnacentral:lncRNA from 1 species